GCCCGGGUGGCGAAAUUGGUAGACGCAAGGGACUUAAAAUCCCUCGGUUGGCUGAACCCACCGUGCCGGUUCGAGUCCGGCCCCGGGCA
rnacentral:tRNA from 1 species